rnacentral:snRNA from 1 species
CCCACUCAAAACACAACACAU